rnacentral:rRNA from 1 species
GACGAACGCUGGCGGCGUGCCUAAUACAUGCAAGUUGAGCGCUGAAGGUUGGUACUUGUACCGACUGGAUGAGCAGCGAACGGGUGAGUAACGCGUGGGGAAUCUGCCUUUGAGCGGGGGACAACAUUUGGAAACGAAUGCUAAUACCGCAUAAAAACUUUAAACACAAGUUUUAAGUUUGAAAGAUGCAAUUGCAUCACUCAAAGAUGAUCCCGCGUUGUACUAGCUAGUUGGUGAGGUAAAGGCUCACCAAGGCGAUGAUACAUAGCCGACCUGAGAGGGUGAUCGGCCACAUUGGGACUGGGACACGGCCCAAACUCCUACGGGAGGCAGCAGUAGGGAAUCUUCGGCAAUGGACGAAAGUCUGACCGAGCAACGCCGCGUGAGUGAAGAAGGUUUUCGGAUCGUAAAACUCUGUUGGUAGAGAAGAACGUUGGUGAGAGUGGAAAGCUCAUCAAGUGACGGUAACUACCCAGAAAGGGACGGCUAACUACGUG